rnacentral:rRNA from 1 species
UACGUAGGGUGCUAGCGUUGUUCGGAAUCAUUGGGCGUAAAGCGCGUGUAGGCUGGUAAUUAAGUCGGGUGUGAAAUCCCUGGGCUCAACCGAGGAAGUGCAUCCGAAACUGAUUAGCUAGAAGAUGGUAGAGAAAGGUGGAAUUCCAAGUGUAGAGGUGAAAUUCGUAGAUAUUUGGAGGAAUACCGGUGGCGAAGGCGGCCUUUUGGGCCAUUCUUGACGCUGAGACGCGAAAGCGUGGGUAGCAAACAGG